rnacentral:rRNA from 1 species
UACGGGGGGGGGCAAGCGUUGUUCGGAAUUACUGGGCGUAAAGGGCUCGUAGGUGGCCAACUAAGUCAGACGUGAAAUCCCUCGGCUUAACCGGGGAACUGCGUCUGAUACUGGAUGGCUUGAGUUUGGGAGAGGGACGCGGAAUUCCAGGUGUAGCGGUGAAAUGCGUAGAUAUCUGGAGGAACACCGGUGGCGAAGGCGGCAUCCUGGACCGGUAUUGACGCUGAGGCGCGAAAGCCAGGGGAGCAAACGGG